rnacentral:rRNA from 1 species
AGUCGAGCGAGCUUGCCUAGAUGAUUUUAGUGCUUGCACUAAAUGACACUAGAUACAAGCGAGCGGCGGACGGGUGAGUAACACGUGGGUAACCUGCCCAAGAGACUGGGAUAACACCUGGAAACAGAUGCUAAUACCGGAUAACAACACUAGACGCAUGUCUAGAGUUUGAAAGAUGGUUCUGCUAUCACUCUUGGAUGGACCUGCGGUGCAUUAGCUAGUUGGUAAGGUAACGGCCCACCAAGGCAGCGAUCAGUAGCCGGCCUGAGAGGGUGAACGGCCACAUUGGGACUGAGACACGGCCCAAACUCCUACGGGAGGCAGCAGUGGGGAAUAUUGCACAAUGGGGGAAACCCUGAUGCAGCGACGCCGCGUGAGUGAAGAAGUAUUUCGGUACGUAAAGCUCUAUCAGCAGGGAAGAAAAUGACGGUACCUGACUAAGAAGCCCCGGCUAACUACGUGCCAGCAGCCGCGGUAAUACGUAGGGGGCAAGCGUUAUCCGGAUUUACUGGGUGUAAAGGGAGCGUAGACGGCAGCGCAAGUCUGGAGUGAAAUGCCGGGGCCCAACCCCGGAACUGCUUUGGAAACUGUGCAGCUUGAGUGCGGGAGAGGUAAGUGGAAUUCCUAGUGUAGCGGUGAAAUGCGUAGAUAUUAGGAGGAACACCAGUGGCGAAGGCGGCUUACUGGACCGUAACUGACGUUGAGGCUCGAAAGCGUGGGGAGCAAACAGGAUUAGAUACCCUGGUAGUCCACGCCGUAAACGAUGAUUACUAGGUGUCGGGGGACCAAGGUCCUCCGGUGCCGGCGCAAACGCAUUAAGUAAUC